UACGGAGGAUGCAAGCGUUAUCCGGAAUCAUUGGGCGUAAAGCGUCCGUAGGUGGUGGCACAAGUCUAUUGUUAAAGAGUGGGGCUUAACUCCAUCACAGCAGUAGAAACUGUGACACUAGAGAGUGGUAGGGGUCGAGGGAAUUCCCGGUGUAGCGGUGAAAUGCGUAGAGCUCGGGAAGAACACCAGUGGCGAAAGCGCUCGACUGGACCUCCUCUGACACUGAGGGACGAAAGCUAGGGGAG
rnacentral:rRNA from 1 species